AUCUGACCUCAAAUCAGGUAGGACUACCCGCUGAC
rnacentral:rRNA from 1 species